rnacentral:rRNA from 1 species
GGUGAACUAUGCUUGAGCAGGAUGAAGCCAGUGGAAACUCUGGUGGAGGUCCGAAGCGAUACUGACGUGCAAAUCGUUCGUCUGACUUGAGUAUAGGGGCGAAAGACUAAUCGAACUAUCUAGUAGCUGGUUCCCUCCGAA